rnacentral:antisense_RNA from 1 species
UCCAUGGCGGGCGGUGCGUGGGGGCCUUCGGGCCCGCCGGUCUGGCAUUUACCGGUUUUCGAGCCACGCACCGUCCGCCACCU